rnacentral:rRNA from 1 species
AUUGAACGCUGGCGGCAGGCCUAACACAUGCAAGUCGAACGAGUGGCGGACGGGUGAGUAAUGUCUGGGAAACUGCCUGCUGGAGGGGGAUAACUACCGGAAACUGUAGCUAAUACCGCAUACCAUCAGAUGUGUCCAGAUGGGAUUGGCUUGUUGGGGGGGUAACGGCUCACCACGGCGACGAUCCCUUACUGGUCUGAGAGGAUGACCAGCAACACUGGAACGGAGACACGGUCCAGACUCCUACGGGAGGCAGCAGUGGGGAAUAUUGCACAAUGGGCGCAAGCCUGAUGCAGCCAUGCCGGGUGUAUGAAGAAGGCCUUCGGAUUGUAAAGCACUUUCAGUGGGGAGGCGUUACCCGCAGAAGAAGCACCGGCUAACUCCGUGCCAGCAGCCGCGGUAAUAC